GGGGAGUUGCCGGAGUGGUCAAACGGGCCUGACUGUAAAUCAGGUGGCGCUUGCCUACGGAGGUUCGAAUCCUCCACUCCCCACCC
rnacentral:tRNA from 1 species